UGCGUGGCUCGUUAUCUUUUAUUUUAUCUUAAAAUUAUACUAAUUCAUCGACAAUAAUUCGAUAUAACAUUCUGGAAUAAUCUACGUUAUUUCUCGGCUAGGUCAAUGUAUAUUAUUCGUUAUAAAUGUUUGUGUGUAUGGGCAUAUAAAGCAAACAUAUGUAACUAUUUCAUAACGUUUGUGUUUUUCCCCCCCUACCAAACGCAAGAAAGAUGAUGUACGUCCAUCCCUUAUCAACAAGAUUUUCUUCGUUCAGUUCGAUAAUUCAUUUCUCAAAUACGCGAUUAAAAAUUUAUUCUACAGACAUGAUUGUUGAUUAUUCAGCGAGCAAAACAGAAAAUGUAACGAAGAAUGCAAUGAAUACAAACAUAGGAAAAGAAGGAAAAUACGUAACGAUAACCCCCGUUAUGAUCUUCGUCGUGUAUUAUAUUACAUUUCGUCAAUAUAUCGUCGAAAAUGUGUUAACAUAUGUUUGUAAAUGUUAACACAAAUAUAAUGAAAAGAUUUAUCUUAGAGCUGAACUACCACAGACAGAAACGAAUAUCUACGAUCGUUCGCGAGUGCUGUUUCUUGACCCAUCGACAUUUGACGCGAUUAUUAUAAUUUUAUCGCGUACUUCUUGAAUGAAGAAUACUGUUUUAAAGUGUUAACUUUUAAAAUGCAGUAUUUGAAACUCGUUAACGAAAGCAAUGUUAAUGACAGUAUUGGCAAACAAGGUGUCGGUUGAUCUAAUGCAUGCAACAUAAGACUAAUGUUUUCAAUCGUUGUUAACUCGAUAUCUAUUUAAUAAAAUGUUUAUAGUCA
rnacentral:lncRNA from 1 species